rnacentral:rRNA from 1 species
GACGAACGCUGGCGGCGUGCCUAACACAUGCAAGUCGAACGCAGUGGGGACGGGUGAGUAACACGUGGGUAACCUCCCAUCAGAGGGGAUAACACUUGGAAACAGGCGCUAAACCGAUACUGAUGGAUGGACCCGCGGUGCAUUAGCUAGUUGGUGGGGUAACGGCUAACCAAGGCCAAGAUGCAUAGCCGGUCUGAGAGGGUGAUCAGCCACACUGGGACUGAGACACGGUCCAGACUCCUACGGGAGGCAGCAGUGGGGAAUAUUGGACAAUGGGCGAAAGCCUGAUGCAGCCAUGCCGCGUGUGUGAAGAAGGUCUUCGGGUUGUAAAGCACUUUAAGUUGGGAGGCGUUACCAACAGAAUAAGCACCGGCUAACUUCGUGCCAGCAGCCGCGGUAAUUC